UCUGACGACCAUAGCGUCUUGGCCCCACCCCUUCCCAUCCCGAACAGGACCGUGAAACAAGACCGCGCCGAUGAUAGUGAGGUCCGCCCUCGUGAAAGUAGGUCAUCGUCAGAC
rnacentral:rRNA from 1 species